CACGUAGGGUGCGAGCGUUGUCCGGAAUUAUUGGGCGUAAAGAGCUCGUAGGCGGUUUGUUGCGUCGGCUGUGAAAUCCCGAGGCUCAACCUCGGGUCUGCAGUCGAUACGAGCAAACUAGAGUGUUGCAGGGGAGACUGGAAUUCCUGGUGUAGCGGUGAAAUGCGCAGAUAUCAGGAAGAACACCCGUGGCGAAGGCGGCUCUCUGGGACGGUACUGACGCUGAGACGCGAAAGCGUGGGGAGCGAACAGG
rnacentral:rRNA from 1 species